rnacentral:rRNA from 1 species
GCGUAAGCGCACGCAGGCGGUCUGUCUAGUCGGAUGUGAAAUCCCCGGGCUCAUCCUGGGAACUGCAUUCGAAACUGGCAGGCUAGAGUCUUGCAGAGGGGGGUAGAAUUCCACGUGUAGCGGUGAAAUGCGUAGAGAUCUGGAGGAACACCGGUGGCGAAGGCGGCCCUCUGGACAGAGACUGACGCUCAGGUGCGAAAGCGUGGGGAGCAAACAGGAUUAGAUAC